ensembl:lncRNA
CAAAGAUGGCUGCAGCUUAGCUUUGACUUCCCGGGGGGAAGGAGGACUUUGGUGCAUGCCGCAAAAGGGGUGUUCCCUCUUAGUCCUGCGAGCGCAGCGAGUGUCCUGUCUUCCUACUAUUUCCUUAGUGCAGAUCAGAGCCACACGGUAGUUCUGUGGCCAAGGCCUCCCUGUAGCCAGGGCUUGGGCCUGUCCUUGCGUGGCCGCCUGUCUGCUGGCGGCGGUGACAGCCCCGUACUCGGGGUGUGUGUCCCAAGCUUCGGAGCCCUCUGUCCCUGAGCAGCCCGCCCGCCCUGUAAUCAGGUGUGGGGAGGCUGCAGCGUUGCAGCCGGCUGCUUUAGCCAUCCAGCUGGUGGGAGUGACCCCUCCCUGUCCCGUCAGAGGGUGCAGGUUGAGGUGCUGUUUGUGUGUGGGGUGACCUCCCCGCUCGGUGGGUCGAGGUAGCUCCCUGGGUUCCAAAGACGAGACGUUGGUGAUGUUCUGCUGCUGCCGGGCGGGCCAGCCUGUAACUCAGGCGUUGGCGGGAGCCUCGUGCUCCGCGGGGCUUCUUGAAGAGGGUGAGGUGUGGGGGUACCGUCCUGUAGGCAGGGCUGUGUGUGCCCCCCGUGUGUGCUUGGUGAGCUGUGUUCUGAGAGACCCCCUGUACUCAGGUGGGAAUGUGGCCCCGGCCUUUCAGAGGCGCGGGGCCGUGAGAUGCGGGGUGGGGCUUGCGCCCUCCCUGGAAUCGGGGCUGGGAUCCCGACUGCGGCCUUUGGCCGUGCCGCCCCGCUGCCUGGCUGCUGAGAGUUGCUCCUGCCGCUGGGGGGGAAACCGAGCUCUGUGGCUCCAGGGGUGUUGUCCACCCGCCUGUAAUCAGGGUCUGGGUGCGCGAGCGUUUGUGCUCUGCUGGCAGCCUGUGUGGGGUGACCGCCCCGCUAGCGGGGUGUGGGUCGAGGUGCCCCGGACUGGGAGAGAAGGAGCCUCCCUCGGCCGUAGGGAUGGGGGCUGCCCUGUAAGUCAGGGAGCAUCUGUGUCCCGGAGUCCCAGGCCCUUUUCAUGGCGGCAGUGGCCGGGGGUCCCCUGUAAGCAGGGAAGCUGACUCUUUGGCUGCUGCUUUUUGUGUGCCCAGCCCCAUUUGCCCGGUCUGCCCGCCUCUGUGAUCCCCCGCAGCACUGGCUGGAAGUCUGCCGCGUGUCAGUGAGGAGCUGCUGCAGAAGGAAGAAGAAGAAGCGGCGUGGGGAGCUGGGAGGCAGGAGCAAGCAAGAAGAGGAAGCGGAAGCGUGCAGAUGCGGGGGGGAAGGAGAGAGGCUCCCUGGGCAAAGCACCUGUCCCGUUAGCAGGGGCACAGUCACGUUUGAGUUGAGAGCUGCCGGCGCCUUUGGUGACCAGGCUGGCGUUGUGCUGGGCGACCUCCCCGUAAGCGGGGCUCGGGUCUUUGCUGUAGUUGGCCUUUUGCCUUGCUGCUCCUUUGGCUGCCUGGGGAGCGUGGCCCCCUGUAACGGAGGGCGAGAGCCACCUCUCCGCACCUGAGUGGGAAAUGGAGCUCGCCGGACCCCGAGGCCACCCUGUAAGCAGGGUAGUGCCGUUCCCUGCCCCUCUUCCUCCCCGGCCCCUCGGCAUCGUUGCCUGAUGGUGGCUGUCAAGCGACGGCCCCGUACUCGGGGUGUGCGUCACGGCAUUUGGCUGCUGGCUUUACCUGAGAAGCCCCUUGGCACGUUGAGGUCUGUGGCCUCCGUGCAGCCUAGGGACAGGUCACAGGCUCUUGUCUGUUGCCCGUGGUUGUGGGUUUAUUCCCAGGUGUUGGCUGUGCUGCGUUGUCCUUCCCUUCUGGAAAGUCGUGCCUGUGUGUGCGUGUUCCCCUUCCUUUCCUUGUUUGUGUUUGUGGAGUGUUGAGCGGCUGUGCUUUCCCUUUAGGCCUCCACAAAGAUG